rnacentral:rRNA from 1 species
AACGAACGCUGGCGGCAUGCCUAACACAUGCAAGUCGAACGAGACCUUCGGGUCUAGUGGCGCACGGGUGCGUAACGCGUGGGAACCUGCCCUUAGGUUCGGAAUAACUCCCCGAAAGGGGUGCUAAUACCGGAUAAUGUCUUCGGACCAAAGAUUUAUCGCCUUUGGAUGGGCCCGCGUUGGAUUAGCUAGUUGGUAGGGUAAAAGCCUACCAAGGCGACGAUCCAUAGCUGGUCUGAGAGGAUGAUCAACCACACUGGGACUGAGACACGGCCCAGACUCCUACGGGAGGCAGCAGUGGGGAAUAUUGGACAAUGGGCGAAAGCCCGAUCCAGCAAUGCCGCGUGAGUGAUGAAGGCCUUAGGGUUGUAAAGCUCUUUUACCUGGGAUGAUAAUGACAGUACCGGGAGAAUAAGCUCCGGCUAACUCCGUG